rnacentral:rRNA from 1 species
GACGAACGCUGGCGGCGUGCUUAACACAUGCAAGUCGAACGAUGAACCCGGAGCUUGCUCUGGGGGAUUAGUGGCGAACGGGUGAGUAACACGUGAGUAACCUGCCCUGGACUCUGGGGUAAGCGUUGGAAACGACGUCUAAUACCGGAUAGGACCUUGGAUCGCAUGAUCUGGGGUGGAAAGUUUUUUCGGUCUGGGAUGGACUCGCGGCCUAUCAGCUUGUUGGUGAGGUAAUGGCUCACCAAGGCGUCGACGGGUAGCCGGCCUGAGAGGGUGACCGGCCACACUGGGACUGAGACACGGCCCAGACUCCUACGGGAGGCAGCAGUGGGGAAUAUUGCACAAUGGGCGAAAGCCUGAUGCAGCAACGCCGCGUGCGGGAUGACGGCCUUCGGGUUGUAAACCGCUUUUAGUAGGGAAGAAGGGCUUCGGCUUGACGGUACCUGCAGAAAAAGGACCGGCUAACUACGUG